rnacentral:tRNA from 1 species
UUCCCUCUUUUCUUCGCUUGCAUUGUCGCUGGCG